rnacentral:rRNA from 1 species
CUUAAUUCUAUUGGCGGUUGAUUAACCUUUCACAGGAAUUUGCUAGUUUUGAUAGAUACCCCGCUUUUAUUUUAACUACUGUAAAUUUUAUGUACGGCUGUUUUAUUUUAAUUUAGGUAUUUUUAUAAAAAAUUUAUUCUCCUAUCUCAGGUCAAUGUGUAGAGUAUACAGUAGUUUUUAGUGAGUUACCUUAAUAGGAUGGGUUUGCAAAAUAACCUUGAAACUGGAUGUGAAAGUAAAUAAAUAAUAAAAUUUUUUAUUGAUGAAGGUCCUAAUCGAAGUACAUAUCGCCCGUCACUCUUUUUCACAG